rnacentral:tRNA from 2 species
GGGCGAGUGGCGGAACUGGCAUACGCGCACGACUCAAAAUCGUGUGGAUUUAUCCAUAAGGGUUCAACUCCCUUCUCGCCCACCA